GACGAACGCUGGCGGCGUGCUUAACACAUGCAAGUCGAAUGGAAAGGCCCUGCUUUUGUGGGGUGCUCGAGUGGCGAACGGGUGAGUAACACGUGAGUAACCUGCCCUUGACUUUGGGAUAACUUCAGGAAACUGGGGCUAAUACCGGAUAGGAGCUCCUGCUGCAUGGUGGGGGUUGGAAAGUUUCGGCGGUUGGGGAUGGACUCGCGGCUUAUCAGCUUGUUGGUGGGGUAGUGGCUUACCAAGGCUUUGACGGGUAGCCGGCCUGAGAGGGUGACCGGCCACAUUGGGACUGGGAUACGGCCCAGACUCCUACGGGAGGCAGCAGUGGGGAAUAUUGCACAAUGGGCGGAAGCCUGAUGCAGCAACGCCGCGUGCGGGAUGACGGCCUUCGGGUUGUAAACCGCUUUCGCCUGUGACGAAGCGUGAGUGACGGUAAUGGGUAAAGAAGCACCGGCUAACUACGUG
rnacentral:rRNA from 1 species